UGGGGAAUAUUGCACAAUGGGCGCAAGCCUGAUGCAGCCAUGCCGCGUGUAUGAAGAAGGCCUUCGGGUUGUAAAGUACUUUCAGCGAGGAGGAAGGCGUUGUGGUUAAUAACCGCAGCGAUUGACGUUACUCGCAGAAGAAGCACCGGCUAACUCCGUGCUAGCAGCCGCGGUACUACGGAGGGUGCAAGCGUUAAUCGGAAUUACUGGGCGUAAAGCGCACGCAGGCGGUCUGUCAAGUCGGAUGUGAAAUCCCCGGGCUCAACCUGGGAACUGCAUCCGAAACUGGCAGGCUAGAGUCUUGUAGAGGGGGGUAGAAUUCCAGGUGUAGCGGUGAAAUGCGUAGAGAUCUGGAGGAAUACCGGUGGCGAAGGCGGCCCCCUGGACAAAGACUGACGCUCAGGUGCGAAAGCGUGGGGAGCAAACA
rnacentral:rRNA from 1 species